rnacentral:rRNA from 1 species
GGCAACAGCUCAAAUUUGAAAUCUGGCGCAAGCCCGAGUUGUAAUUUGUAGAGGAUGCUUCAGGGCAGCGGCCGGUCUAAGUUCCUUGGAACAGGACGUCAUAGAGGGUGAGAAUCCCGUAUGCGACCGGUUGGCACCCGUCACGUAGCUCCUUCGACGAGUCGAGUUGUUUGGGAAUGCAGCUCUAAAUGGGAGGUAAAUUUCUUCUAAAGCUAAAUAUUGGCCAGAGACCGAUAGCGCACAAGUAGAGUGAUCGAAAGAUGAAAAGCACUUUGGAAAGAGAGUUAAAAAGCACGUGAAAUUGUUGAAAGGGAAGCGCAUGCAAUCAGACUUGUCGGCGGUGUUCCGCCGGUCUUUUGACCGGUCUACUCGCCGCCGGCAGGCCAGCAUCAUCUGGGCGCGCCGGACAAAGGCGCGGGGAAUGUAGCUCCUCGGAGUGUUAUAGCCCCGCGCACAAUACGGCGCCGCCCGGGUGAGGUCCGCGCUUCGGCUAGGAUGCUGGCGUAAUGGUUGUAUGCGGCCCGUCUUGAAACACGGACCAAGGAGUCUAACAUCUAUGCGAGUGUUCGGGUGUCAAACCCCUACGCGGAAUGAAAGUGAACGGAGGUGGGAAGCGCAAGCUGCACCAUCGACCGAUCCUGAUGUCUUCGGAUGGAUUUGAGUAAGAGCAUAGCUGUUGGGACCCGAAAGAUGGUGAACUAUGCCUGAAUAGGGUGAAGCCAGAGGAAACUCUGGUGGAGGCUCGCAGCGGUUCUGACGUGCAAAUCGAUCGUCGAAUU